AAAGCCUCUAAGCAUCAGGUAACAUCAAAUCGUACCCCAAACCGACACAGGUGGUCAGGUAGAGAAUACCAAGGCGCUUGAGAGAACUCGGGUGAAGGAACUAGGCAAAAUGGUGCCGUAACUUCGGGAGAAGGCACGCUGAUAUGUAGGUGAAGCGACUUGCUCGUGGAGCUGAAAUCAGUCGAAGAUACCAGCUGGCUGCAACUGUUUAUUAAAAACACAGCACUGUGCAAACACGAAAGUGGACGUAUACGGUGUGACGCCUGCCCGGUGCCGGAAGGUUAAUUGAUGGGGUUAGCGGUAACGCGAAGCUCUUGAUCGAAGCCCCGGUAAACGGCGGCCGUAACUAUAACGGUCCUAAGGUAGCGAAAUUCCUUGUCGGGUAAGUUCCGACCUGCACGAAUGGCGUAAUGAUGGCCAGGCUGUCUCCACCCGAGACUCAGUGAAAUUGAACUCGCUGUGAAGAUGCAGUGUACCCGCGGCAAGACGGAAAGACCCCGUGAACCUUUACUAUAGCUUGACACUGAACAUUGAGCCUUGAUGUGUAGGAUAGGUGGGAGGCUUUGAAGUGUGGACGCCAGUCUGCAUGGAGCCGACCUUGAAAUACCACCCUUUAAUGUUUGAUGUUCUAACGUGGGCCCCUAAUCGGGGUUGCGGACAGUGUCUGGUGGGUAGUUUGACUGGGGCGGUCUCCUCCUAAAGAGUAACGGAGGAGCACGAAGGUUGGCUAAUCCUGGUCGGACAUCAGGAGGUUAGUGCAAUGGCAUAAGCCAGCUUGACUGCGAGCGUGACGGCGCGAGCAGGUGCGAAAGCAGGUCAUAGUGAUCCGGUGGUUCUGAAUGGAAGGGCCAUCGCUCAACGGAUAAAAGGUACUCCGGGGAUAACAGGCUGAUACCGCCCAAGAGUUCAUAUCGACGGCGGUGUUUGGCACCUCGAUGUCGGCUCAUCACAUCCUGGGGCUGAAGUAGGUCCCAAGGGUAUGGCUGUUCGCCAUUUAAAGUGGUACGCGAGCUGGGUUUAGAACGUCGUGAGACAGUUCGGUCCCUAUCUGCCGUGGGCGCUGGAGAACUGAGGGGGGCUGCUCCUAGUACGAGAGGACCGGAGUGGACGCAUCACUGGUGUUCGGGUUGUCAUGCCAAUGGCACUGCCCGGUAGCUAAAUGCGGAAGAGAUAAGUGCUGAAAGCAUCUAAGCACGAAACUUGCCCCGAGAUGAGUUCUCCCUGAGACUUAGAGUCUCCUGAAGGAACGUUGAAGACGACGACGUUGAUAGGCCGGGUGUGUAAGCGCAGCGAUGCGUUGAGCUAACCGGUACUAAUGAACCGUGAGGCUUAACCUU
rnacentral:rRNA from 1 species